rnacentral:rRNA from 1 species
CCUCUCGGGGGUAAGCGGGCAGAACUUGCAAGUAUUGNNGNGAANAUUCAGGCUUAGUGUCGGUGACUGAGGGUAUGAAUUAAGUUGUUUGUUCGCAAACGGACUGAUGUGUGCUCUUUGUUUUGCUGAUGAUGCGCCGCAUUUCUUUUCACCAUCCGGGUUGCAUGCAACUGAGUUGGCAAUUUAGGUGCUGGGUGUCUGCGUGUCCUUGUGGCUCGAGCCCUGGUCUUCCAAUUGCUCAUGCGGUUGUUGAAAGCGAACAGGCGUUUGUCGCGGUCAAUGUUUUUCACGAGUAGGGUUUGUAUGGUAUAUGGAUGGGUAACCAUAGUAUGCUGUACCGACUGAUUGUCAGUAUGAGAUAUUUGGCUCUGUUCAGUAUUGCAAUCUAAAGCAUGCGUGGUCUGCCUGU